GACGAACGCUGGCGGCGUGCUUAACACAUGCAAGUCGAACGGAAAGGCCCUGCUUGCAGGGUGCUCGAGUGGCGAACGGGUGAGUAACACGUGGGUGAUCUGCCCCUUACUUUGGGAUAAGCCUGGGAAACUGGGUCUAAUACUGGAUAGGACCAUGCUGUAGGUGGUGUGGUGGAAAGAUUAGUUUCGGUAAGGGAUGAGCUCGCGGCCUAUCAGCUUGUUGGUGGGGUAAUGGCCUACCAAGGCGUCGACGGGUAGCCGGCCUGAGAGGGUGGACGGCCAAAUUGGGACUGAGAUACGGCGCAGACCCCUACGGGAGGCAGCAGUGGGGAAUAUUGCACAAUGGGGGCAAGACUGAUGUAGCGACGCUGCGUGGGGGAUGACGGCCGUCGGGUUGUAAACUCCUUUCAGCCAUGACGAAGCCCUUGUGGUGACGGUAGUGGUAGAAGAAGCACCGGCUAACUACGUG
rnacentral:rRNA from 1 species